AGCCCCGAGGUGUCAACAUAUUAGAUUGCAAAUCUAAAGAGGUAGACUGACGUCUACCGGGGCUU
rnacentral:tRNA from 1 species